GAUAAGAACGUAGCGAAAUGCGAUAAGUAAUGUGAAUUGCAGAAUUCAGUGAAUCAUCGAAUCUUUGAACGCACAUUGCGCCCGCCAGUAUUCUGGCGGGCAUGCCUGUUCGAGCGUCAUUUCAACCCUCAAGACCCCUUCGGGGGACUUGGUGUUGGGGACCGGCAUAGGGGCCUUGCGCCCCUCGCCGCCCCCGAAAUGAAUUGGCGGCCUCGUCGCGGCCUCCCCUGCGUAGUAGCACAACCUCGCAACGGGAACGUGACGGCGGCCACUGCCGUAAAACAACCCAAUUUUAUUAGAGUUGACCUCGAAUCAGGUAGGAAUACCCGCUGAACUUAAGCAUAUCAAUAAGCGGAGGA
rnacentral:misc_RNA from 1 species